AGCGAACGCUGGCGGCAGGCCUAACACAUGCAAGUCGAACGGAUCCUUCGGGAUUAGUGGCGGACGGGUGAGUAACACGUGGGAACGUGCCCUUUGGUUCGGAACAACUCAGGGAAACUUGAGCUAAUACCGGAUGUGCCCUUCGGGGGAAAGAUUUAUCGCCAUUGGAGCGGCCCGCGUCUGAUUAGCUAGUUGGUGAGGUAACGGCCCACCAAGGCGACGAUCAGUAGCUGGUCUGAGAGGAUGAUCAGCCACACUGGGACUGAGACACGGCCCAGACUCCUACGGGAGGCAGCAGUGGGGAAUCUUGCGCAAUGGGCGAAAGCCUGACGCAGCCAUGCCGCGUGAAUGAUGAAGGUCUUAGGAUUGUAAAAUUCUUUCAGCGGGGACGAUAAUGACGGUACCCGCAGAAGAAGCGCCGGCUAACUUCGCG
rnacentral:rRNA from 1 species